AUUAUAUUGGUGGAAUUUAAUUCGUUGUACUCUAGUUGGAUAACACGAGAAACUCUCAUGCUAAAACAUGCAUUUAUCAAUUCACUAUCGGAAGAUCGGAUUUCACACGUACAAUUGAAACUAAAGGAGCUUCCAAUGCAUCAUCUAGUACGUGGGGUAAAGGCUUACCUAGGAAGUAACGCACACGGAAUAUUUGGGUAUGAUUCCGGAGAAUGAGCACNAGUGACGGCUCAUAGUUCUAAGGAAGGCAGCAGGCGCGAAAAUUGCCCAAUGUACGUAAAUUACUACGAGGCAGAGACAAAGUAUCGCAGGGAGAUUUAUCUCCACUGUGAUGAAUUUUCUUUACACACUUUGAAUAAUGCAAGUCAUGGGAAAGCAUGGUGCCAGCAGCCGCGGUAAUUCCAUCAUGACAAACUUUUCCUUACGGUGCUGCAUUUAAAGAGCUCGUAGCUUCUAUAAUAAUUAUCUUGAUCAAAUCAUAUCCGCUCCAANAUGCACGCAGUGUGUUUAAGCAAGUAAUAAUUCAGGCCGCCCAUGCGGUCUACAGGCUUGGGAAAUAUGCUUUAUCGUGAUGGGACAGGUGAAAUAGGAUGAUCAUCACGGGAGCGUCUACGGCGGUGGCUGUAUAUAACCCAGUCUUGGCUGGUCAAGAGCGAAAGCAUAGGGAUAGACGUCGAUUAGAGACCGAUUUAUUCUGUGCCUUAAAUGUUGUGAUCCGGGUUUACGGACCACUAGGCCUAUCUUCCCAUGAGAAAUCCUGAGUUUACGCACCAUGGGGGGAGUAUGGUCGCAAGGCUGAAACUUGAAGGUAUUGACGGAAAGAUACCACCAGACGUGGAGUCUGCGGCUUAAUUUGACUCAACGCGACAAUCUUACUAGACCCAGAUACUUUGCUGUACUUCAGCUUGAAAGUGCUUAAGUGAAUGAGUAGAUGGUGGUGCAUGGCCGCUCCUAGUUCGUGGUAUGAACUGUCUGCUUCAUUGCGAUAACGAGCGAGAUGGCCAUCCUGAUUUUUCGGGAGAUUGCCAGCGAUGAGCUGGAUGAAAGUGGCCGCGCUAGCAGGUCUGUGAUGCCCUUAAACACUCUAGGCCGCACGCGUACUACAAUGUGUAGCAUAAAACGUUGUGGUAGAGAAAUCUUCCACUAUCAUUAACACUCCGACGUGGUUGGGACUGCGGUUUGGAAUUCCUUCCCGCACCAACGAGGAAUGUCUAGUAGUUCUGCCUCAUUAUUGCAGGCCGACUACGUCCCUGUCUUUUGUACACACCGCCCGUCGCUCCUACCGAUGGUGCUGUAGUUGAGUUGUUCGGAGGAG
rnacentral:rRNA from 1 species